AGAGCAUGAUGUGGAUAAUUCCUCGUUAGCUCCUUGUAUCUUUCUCAUGCCUCAUAUAAGGAUUUAGUUUCUUGUUGCACAGAGGUAGUGAUCUCAUUUUUCAUUUU
rnacentral:snoRNA from 1 species